AGAUCCAGCCAUACUUGACAACUAUGUUUAAUCAAGUUAUCUGUUGCAGAGGCAGUCAUUCUUAUCACUGCAGUUUGUUCCCCACACUGAAAUGUAUUUUGUGGAAACUGUCUACCCUUUAAUGAAUGAGACCAUCAAGAUCUCCAAUGAUCUAAGGAAGUACAUAGACCUUGGAAAACAAAGAAAGGCCUUCUGAGGUAGUACUCCAUAUACUAACCUGAUUAUUUGUGAGUAACGUUACACUGCCAUUCACAAUCCAGUGAACAGUGUUGGAGAGCUAUUUGACAGAACAAGUUCUAUGGAUAGUGCAUGGGAUUUGAUAGAGCAAGCUCUCAUUCUCACAUCUGGAUUCAAGUUCUGGUUCCUUU